UACAGAGGGUGCAAGCGUUGCUCGGAAUCAUUGGGCGUAAAGGGUAGGUAGGUGGUCUCGUUUGUCUGGGGUGAAAGCCCAGGGCUUAACCCUGGAAGUGCCCCGGAAACGGCGAGACUGGAGUCCUGGAGAGGGUCGUGGAAUUCCCGGUGUAGCGGUGAAAUGCGUAGAGAUCGGGAGGAACACCAGAGGCGAAGGCGGCGACCUGGACAGGUACUGACACUCAACUACGAAAGCGUGGGGAGCAAACAGG
rnacentral:rRNA from 1 species